GGAUUCCUUGCUCACUUCACUUCACCUGGCUGGGCAGGUCUGCGAGGGCUCAAGGGUUAGCUCCUCCACUUUUAUUGUUUUAUUUAUUUUUCAGUGGUUGUUUCCAUUAAGAUAACCAUGUUCAGAAGGAGAGUCUGAAACACAUAAAUAAUGGGAAGUGCUAAUAGUAAGCAGGCUGCUGUAAAAUGUGCUGGGGCUUUGACUUAAGGGAAGAAAGCACAGCCCUGCACUGUCCCUGGUAAGGAAGCUUCAGCACAGAAGAAUUCACUUAAGAUCAAAAAAUGCUGAAGGUCGGAAACAUCCCGAGACAUUACUUCUGUCAAAUCUACAUCACUGGAGUACUUCUACCUCCUCACUAAAGAUGGUCAGAAAUGGAGCCAAGCACAAGCAGGAGAGGGAGUUCUAAAGAUGAGAAGCAAAGUUACGUGGCAGGGAAGAACUUUUCCUUCAGCUAUUCCGUAAGAUGAAUCAAUGUGCAGCAGCACCGUCUGGAGAAAUCACUUUGUGCUUGUGAAUUGCAAACAGCUGGAACCACCCAACACAAUCAUCUGCAUAUCUGACACCUGAAAUUAAUCCUUUGGAUAAUUCAUUCAUGACUCCCAGGAACAAUGCAGGGAAAUAAGAAACAUACAGAAGGACAUAGUGAUUCCUCAAGUAUUGGGAGUCUCCUGGAUGACACAGACAGAGAGGUGAGCAGUCUCACAGACCGGGCUUUCAAAAGUUUGUGUGUGGCAGAACUCGAAGACUCUUACAAUGAACCAGAUCUUGCCAUUUCACCUGACUUCACCCUCCAAUUCUCUGCUAAGUUUCACCCAGGGACGUUAAACCAUACCGUUAAGAAAAGCAAUGUCUGUAACAAGCUAACAGCAAGAAACAAUGAACAUACAAUAUGGGCUUCAACAUUCCAGCAGUUACCAAAGUGUGCUCCAGAGGAGAAAAGGAUUGCUAAAAAUAACACCUUUGCCAUGGAAAGGAAAAAGUUGAAUUUGCCAGUCCCUGGUCCAAGGAACAAUAAACAUGUUUCAAAAGUGUCCUCAUUGAUUAAGACAUUUGAUAAGACUGCAGACCAAGGGUCAGGAAGUUCCCUGAUAGCCCUUAAGCAACCCAUUAAGAAUAGCCUUCAAAAGUGUAAAUUAAAUCAUGGAAAUGAUAUGGCUUGCUGGGAUGACACAGACAUUUUAAGCAUCCACAAGGAACUUUCUGAAUUUUCUGAGGCUAGUCAAGGUAGCCGCUGUCUCAGUGGCAAACAUGAGCCACAGAAAAGACCUAAUAAAAUAGACCUGAGUUAUUGUGGCUCUGAUGAUUAUUAUCCUGUGCUGAUUGAGAUGUCAAAAGUAGCCAAGUCAAAUUUUUCCCGUUCGUCUAAAAAGGCUUUAAAAAACAGAAGUGUGAAAGUUAAUGAGCCAGCAAAAAAAGGUAAUUUUCUUCACAGUGAGAACAGUGCUUUUGAAUCAUGGAAUGUUCAUCAUAAAAAACUGACUGAAAAGGAGGAAUUUGUUGAUAUAAAAACAAAAAAGGAAGGUCUUGCAUACCUGGAAGAAGCACCAUUUAUUAAAGGAUCCCACACACGUGAACAUAAAUUACCACCUGACAAGAUCACUGCUGCUAAGAAGCAGGAGAGAGACUUUCAGAUGGAGCCAGCUCCACCAGAAGCUGCUUUCAGCAUCCCUCUCCCAGCUGUAUACGUACCUCAGGGCCCCCUCCCUUCAGAAACCGAAUUUCCUCCUGCUCUUCCUCCCACGCCCCCCCCCAGGAUCCAUGCGCACCAGGGUCCUCCUCAGCCACCCCCACAGGCACUUCCUCUUCCACCCCCCACCCAGCAGGGCCAUGCCCCAAGACCCCCUACCCCUGAAGUCCCUCCUGUGCCACCACCCCCAAUGCCAGCUCAGCUUUCCCCCCCUGCCACCUCCCAAAGCUCCAUCUCACCCCACUCCGUGUCCUACAGGAUGGUUUCACCCUCACCCGUGUCCCAGGCACUCAGCCCGCCUCCACCGAGACCUCUGGCCACCUUAACCGAAGAGGGGGCCCUCAGUCCCCAACUGGGCAAUACCUGUCCACCCUGGAGGAGACAGAGGGCUACAAAAGGGGCAGCAGAGAAGAGACAGACUUCAAAGGAGAGGCUGACAGCCAGCGAUGAGACAGUUUCAUUGCCUGAAAAAGUACCUGGUGCUGAAGCUGGUCUGGAUGUGACUCCUCUGGCUAAACAGGUAAACUCCCCUGGAUCAAUCAGUCCCUCUUUCAACAUCACUGAACUCUUAACACCCAUUAUACCACCAAAACAGGAGGCAGACCCUGUGGAAAGCGAGCUGAUCCCGCUGACACCUCCUCCCACUGAGAGUGUGGCAGCGAGAGACCACGAGGGGAGCGCGUUUGGUGAUUACAGGUCUUGGGAUAGUUACAAAUCGAAAGCAUCAAGUCUGUUAUUCAACUUGAAGGAUGUGCGUAAACGUGUUAAAAGCAUUUAUACCCCUUCUCCCCUGUUAAGGGCCUUGGAGGAGAAAAAUAAAACUAGGGAAAAUGUACAGGAGAGUACAAAAAUGAAUGCCUCACUCUCGACUUUACAAGAAAAAAGUAACAAAAAUAUUGCAGAAAAAGAUGAAUCAAGUGAUAUAACCUCCGUAUUGUCUGGCAGUGUUCAGGAAAAGGAAAAUAAAACUGAUUUAACUGGACACUUUACAGACAAUUACCUGACUUUGAGUUCACCCCAGACAACAGCAGACCUUUUAUUUUACCAAACUGGAGACAACUUGCAGCAAGACAAUUCAAAACACAAAAGUCUGGUUAAAAACACAAGGGGUAAUGAAAACUUCCCCUUGUUCAGACAUGAAUCAAAUGAACCUGAUUUAAGGAAAUAUCUGCAGUAUCCAACACUAAAACCAUUCAGUAGGGACAAUGCAGACACAACAGCUGGGCAGCCCGGGCAAAAUCCCAGUGUCCAGGGUGAGGAAAAUGAGAGACAGGCUGCUAAUCAGAAAGAAGAGUUUGCCUCCAAAACACUCCCAAGCCAACUCUCACCAGCAGAGGAUGUGCCUUACAGUGACAUCCAAACCAGUAUGGUGGUAACUGGCCAUGAAGCACAAAGCAAAAGAAGCAGUAGUUCUUCGGAGCAAUCUUUCAUCUCCACGGUAGAGCAGCCACUUCAGGAGGAGCCGUUUCCACUGGUGCCCCUGAUGCAGAAGGCAUCCCUUCAAGAAAGCCAGAGGACUAAGAGUGAAAUGGGUGCAGACAGUAAGAAAAGCCACAAGGAGAGAGGGAAAGAGGUUGGGGAAGAUGAACUGCAAUGUUAUGCUUGUAUCGGCUCUGGUACUGGUGCAGCAGAGAAGAGGGAGGGUAGGAUUACUGGGAAUGAAGAGAGGAGCUUGAUGAAAGAGAAGCUGAGAGACAAAAGGGACGAUGCCAGCAGCAUGGAUUCUGCUUCCAACAGUAUAAGGGACAUGUCCAUCCCCAGGUCCGAGGAGCCACAAACACCCCCAUCUUCAAGCUCAACCAAACCCAGUCUGUUUAUGAUUAAAGAUAACACAUUCAGGUCACCUCAGGUAAUAAAGGCUGUCAAGCUGCCCCUGUUCAGGUCCUUUUCCCUGGAUGAUACAGUGAGCAGCAGUUAUAAGGAAAUGGAAAGUAGGUUUGUGCCCCCAGCAGAGCACAAUAAGCAGCACCGAAACAUGUUGCAUGCCCAGGAGGUGGGCUGGUCGGCAUCAAGGCGCAGAGGGCAGCAGAACGUGAGGGAUGGAGCAACCGACACAGGGAAAGAGGCCAGUGAGCCUGGAUCUACUUCAGCAACACUGGAUCCCAGUCUUCUGGAAGAUACAGAGAGCUUUUCGUUAGGGAAGCUGAUGGAAGAGGAUGAAGAGACUUGUGCUUUGUUAAAUAAAGUUGGGAAAAUGAAUGGGGAAAGUAUCUGCAGAAGGAAAGAGAAGCCCCAGACUAGGAAGGCAAGGCACAGCUUAAUGCAGCCAAAUUUAGGUCUGGAAAAUGACCAAGCACAAAACGUCCCCAGCUAUCCCACACAAAGACAGACAAAUUACUUUAAGAAUCAUCAUUUACCUAAUCGCAGAGGUGGCUCUUGUGCGAAAAAAAUAAUCACUAGGGAGACCAUUUCCCCCGUGACUGGCUCCUUAUCAGAGGACCACACGUAUUCUCCUGUAUCCCACGAAGCUUUAGAGGAUAUGCUACAUAUGGAAGGUGCACCAGUUUUGUUAGACAGUCUUGCAUGCUCUUCUGUUACAAGCCCCAGGUCAGGCAGCACAAUGCACUCUCUUGCUGCCAAUUCAUCGUCAGACAAGCCAACAAGAGAGACAGAGGAUGUUAUAAACCCUGUCUUGCCAAAUGUGGCACUAAAGAGCCAAGCUAAUAUGUCUGCAGAAGAGAUACUUGAUUCAGCACAGAGGAAUCUGCCUUCUGAUUCUGCGGGGGAAGCUGAGAGACUGGAGCCCAGGGGACUUGGGGAAAGAGCAGCAGGCAAGCCUCCUGCUGUGCCACCGAAAACAGAAAAGGCUCUGCGGCGAGCAAAAAAGCUGGCAAGCAGGAGAAAGAAAAUGCAAGAGCAGCAGAAAAAACAUCAAACUGAGCAUACAGAUGCUGUGGGGAGAAAGUCUUCUCAUUCUGGAAGGACACUAGCAUCUUCCUCACCCUUGGGAUAUUCUCCUCUCCAUCCUGCCCCUCACUCAAAUUUUGCUCCCACAGAAACCAGUACAAGAAGACCCAGUGGUGCAUCAGCAGUAAGCCCUUCACCCUCUUCAACCCAGCGUAAACUCCUCCAAGACCCUGACUCUGGCCAAUACUAUGUAGUUGAUUUACCAGCUGAAGCUAAUUUAAAGACAUUUUAUGACCCAGAAACUGGCAAAUAUGUUCAAGUCUCAGUCCCUUCCUCGGAAGGGAAUUUAUACCAGCCCCACUCUUCAGAAAUUAUGAAUUCUCCCUAUGCCUCCUACCCUAGAGCACUGCCUUUAGCAGCUUCGUCUGUAGCAGUGCUGAAGUCACCUUCUCAGCUCUCCAAACCUACCUGGUUGAUGCCGGCUGUACCAGGAGAACAAGGUGAACUACCUGAAGAUGGCCAGCAGGACUACAGAUAUGCUGAAGCUGUGGAUACCCAGACCUAUAUUGAACCAGCCUCUUACCCCUACAGUCAAGAUGCUGAAGAAACUCAAGUUCACUUAGGAAAGGACAUGAGCCCAACCCCAAAUACUGACAUAGUGUCCCUCGCAGAUUUAGAUGAUUUUGCUGCUGAAGGAGUAUCUUGAAAACUGAAGUAAUGAAAUAUGCCAGCUAGUGUUUUGAAGAACCGUUUGGACAGACACAUGCACACAAAAGCACAUGCAGAUUUGAUGUUUGUACAACACUUUAUGUCUGAAUCUCAUUGUGGUUUGGGUGGGAAAGAAAAUGAAAGCUGACCACACUGAAAAAUGUGAGGUGAUGAUCACUCUGAAGAAGCGUGAAACUGAGUAAGCACCAAAUUAUCAGUGAGAUGAAGGGGCAAUGCCAACUCAACAAAUAAAUACAACAGUAUGAAGCCACUGCUUGCUGCUGCUUCUGCUUUGCCAUUAUGAUGGCUGGGAUUGCCAAAGCAAGUGUCCCUUUGCCCAGAUGUGUUGCAUGAUAUAUGACACAAAGUAAAACCUAUGAGACCAUCUUGUUCAUCCUAUGAGACCUAGGACAGAUGCCGCAUCUGCUGAACUUUUCUUACUCACUGCCUUUGAACUACAUUGACAGGGGAUGUGAGCUGGAUCUGGCCCAAGAGAGACCCUUUCUUCGAUUGCACUGAGGUUGCUGAAAGUCUGUUGGUGGAAUCGGUUUCUGCUGGCAAGCACUGCUUGCCUGGAUCAGGUCUUCUGAGACUGCGUCCCUUCCCAAGGAAGGUGGAUGGAAACAUUUCAGAAUUAUUCCAUGCCAAAACUGGCUGUGGCUUUGUGAACCUUCCAAAAGGAAAAGUCAGAAAAAAAUGAAAGGAGAAUGUCAUAUUGCAUUAUAAUAUGAGGCAAUGUUAUUGUUGAUAAUACAUCCAUACAUGGAUGUGUGCCUAUACAGAGAUGUAUCUAGGUAUGUCUACAUGUCUAUAUAUAAUUAUAGAUAUAGUAUUCAUGUUCUACUGAAGUGUCUGGACAUGAUCUAAACAGUGCCCUUGAACUGUCCUUUGCAUCCCCCACCUAUCAGUCCACACAUCCUGUUACUUGCAGGGUCUGCCCCAAGGGAGUUCCGUUUUCCCCUGGGCUUCCCAUGUACUCUGGCAUGUUCCACUACACCGGGGAGACAAAUGUUCACCUCUUUCCAUAUUCUUGCCAGGACUAGAGGGUGUACCUGCAAUGCCCCCAUCCCUGCUGCUCAAGGAGCAAGAGGUCUCCCUCACGCAGACUCCUUUUGCUAAAGGUGGUGCAGUUGGUGAGUCCUGAGCAGUUCCCCAGGCUGGGCCAGAUGGGACUGUAAAGGGAGGUGGAGAAGCCCUUUUGCUUAAUACUUCCCCUUCAUGAAACCACUGCAUUAUCAU